rnacentral:misc_RNA from 1 species
GAAAAAAAAAAACAACAACAACUAAUUUUUCCAACCAGUAGCUUACUCAUGCGUGAAAUCCAGUCCAUAUCAUUUUCUAAAUACUAUAUAGCAUGUAUAAACUUUGAACAUAUAUUUGGAAGGAAAACAUAGAAUGGGUUUAAAGCGUAUACAAACAAGGCAAUAGAAAAUGAAACUGCUUUGAAAAAGUGAUUAGGUUAGGCACUUGAAAAGUCUUUAUGCUAUUGUCAUCAAAGAUGUGAAUAAUGGAGAUUAUGUGAAGUUGAGUACAAUCUUCAAGACUUAAGAACAGAUCAUGAGAAUUUGAGAAACAACUAUGAUGAGGCAAUUCAUAUGUUGAAGGGAAACUUGGGGAGAGAGAGUGCUACAUAUCAGACCUGCACAAUUACUGA